GACGAACGCUGGCGGCGUGCUUAACACAUGCAAGUCGAACGGAAAGGCCCUGCUUUUGUGGGGUGCUCGAGUGGCGAACGGGUGAGUAACACGUGAGUAACCUGCCCUUGACUUUCGGGUAACUUCAGGAAACUGGGGCUAAUACAGGAUAGGAGCUCCUGCUGCAUGGUGGGGGUUGGAAAGUUUCGGCUUUUGGGGAUGGACUCGCGGCUUAUGAGCUUGUUGGUGGGGUAGGUGCUUACCCAGGCUGUGACGGGUAGACGGCCUGAGAGGGUGACCGGCCACCUUGGAGGGGAACCAGCCACAUGGGGACUACGAGACGGCGCAGUCGGCUACGUGAGGCAACAGGGGGAAACAUUGCACAGUGGGCGCGAGUCUGUGGCAAAAACGCCGCGUGCGGGAAGACGGCCUUCGGGUUAAGAACCGCUGUCGCCUGAGACGAAGCGGGAGUGACGGUAAUGAGUAAAGAAGCACCGGCUAACUACGUG
rnacentral:rRNA from 1 species